UACAGAGGGUGCAAGCGUUAAUCGGAAUUACUGGGCGUAAAGCGUGCGUAGACGGUUAUGUAAGUCGGGUGUGAAAGCCCCGGGCUCAACCUGGGAAUUGCAUUCGAGACUGCAUAGCUAGGGUGCGGAAGAGGGAAGCGGAAUUUCCGGUGUAGCGGUGAAAUGCGUAGAUAUCGGAAGGAACACCAGUGGCGAAAGCGGCUUCCUGGUCCAGCACCGACGUCAGGCACGAAAGCGUGG
rnacentral:rRNA from 1 species